rnacentral:rRNA from 1 species
GAGCGGCGAACGGGUGAGUAACACGUGGGUGAUCUGCCUCGUACUCUGGGAUAAGCCUGGGAAACUGGGUCUAAUACCGGAUAGGACUACCGGAUGCAUGUCUGGUGGUGGAAAGAUUUAUCGGUGCGAGAUGGGCCCGCGGCCUAUCAGCUUGUUGGUGGGGUAACGGCCUACCAAGGCGACGACGGGUAGCCGACCUGAGAGGGUGACCGGCCACACUGGGACUGAGACACGGCCCAGACUCCUACGGGAGGCAGCAGUGGGGAAUAUUGCACAAUGGGCGGAAGCCUGAUGCAGCGACGCCGCGUGAGGGAUGACGGCCUUCGGGUUGUAAACCUCUUUCGACAGGGACGAAGCGCAAGUGACGGUACCUGUAUAAGAAGCACCGGCCAACUACGUGCCAGCAGCCGCGGUAAUACGUAGGGUGCGAGCGUUGUCCGGAAUUACUGGGCGUAAAGAGCUUGUAGGCGGUUCGUCGCGUCGAUUGUGAAAACUUGCAGCUCAACUGCAAGCUUGCAGUCGAUACNGGGCGGACUAGAGUACUUCAGGGGAAAACUGGAAUUCCU